rnacentral:tRNA from 1 species
GGCAGGUAUAGCUCAGUGGUAGAGUGCGUGCUUAGCAUGCAUGAGGUCCUGGGUUCAAUCCCCAGUACCUCCA